CACGUAGGGGGCGAACGUUGUCCGGAAUGACUGGGCGUAAAGGGCGAGUAGGUGGUAUGCCAAGUCAGAAGUGAAAACUCCGGGCUCAACCCGGAGAUUGCUGCUGAAACUGGCAAACUUGAGUGCAGGAGAGGGAAGCGGAAUUCCUAGUGUAGCGGUGAAAUGCGUAGAUAUUAGGAGGAACACCAGUGGCGAAGGCGGCUUCCUGGCCUGUAACUGACACUGAGGCGCGAAAGCGUGGGGAGCGAACAGG
rnacentral:rRNA from 1 species